rnacentral:lncRNA from 1 species
UGAGGUGUUGUUUACCCUGUCGUUAACCCCCCAGGUUUUAAAUAGUAGUCUGGAUGAGGUGUUUUCCCUGUCGUUAACCCCCCAGGUUUUAAAUAGUAGUCUGGGUGAGGUGUUGUUUUCCCCGUCGUUAACCCCCCAGGUUUUAAAUAGUAGUCUGGAUGAGGUGUUGUUUUCCCUGUCGUUAACCCCCCAGGUUUUAAAUAGUAGUCUGGGUGAGGUGUUUUCCCUGUCGUUAACCCCCCAGGUUUUAAAUAGUAGUCUGGAUGAGGUGUUUUCCCUGUCGUUAACCCCCCAGGUUUUAAAUAGUAGUCUGGGUGAGGUGUUGUUUUCCCCGUCGUUAACCCCCCAGGUUUUAAAUAGUAGUCUGGAUGAGGUGUUGUUUUCCCUGUCGUUAACCCCCCAGGUUUUAAAUAGUAGUCUGGGUGAGGUGUUUUCCCUGUCGUUAACCCCCCAGGUUUUAAAUAGUAGUCUGGAUGAGGUGUUGUUUUCCCUGUCGUUAACCCCCCAGGUUUUAAAUAGUAGUCUGGAUGGCGUGGUGUUUUCCCUGUCGUUACCCCCCCCCCCCCCCAGGUUUUAAAGAGUAGUCUGGAUGAGGUGUUGCGUGCUGUAUGCAGCAAGCCAAAGCUAACAGAGAGAACAAUCAUUCUCUCCCAGCCUUCUGGGAGUAACACCAGCCCUCAAUACGCAGGGCGUCCGGGCUCCAUCGACUCUCAAUGAGACCGCUGUGCAUCCUGAAUGCCACCCUUAACCCUCUUCCCUAUAUAGUGCAGUACUAUAGACCCUAUUCCCUAUAUAGUGCACUACUAUAGACCCUCUUCCCUAUAUAGUGCACUACUAUAGACCCUAUUCCCUAUAUAGUGCACUACUAUAGACCCUCUUCCCUAUAUAGUGCACUACUAUAGACCCUAUUCCCUAUAUAGUGCACUACUAUAGACCAUAUUCCCUAUAUAGUGCACUACUAUAGACCCUAUUCCCUAUAUAGUGCACUACUAUAGGUGGAGGAGGUGGGUGGUAGAGGAGGAGGGUGGUAGAGGUGGAGGAGGUGGGUGGUAGAGGAGGAGAAGGGUGGUGGAGGAGGGGAAGAGAGAACUUGUGAGAAGAUUUUUCCAUAAAUGAGUUAAAGCAGUGGAAGGUAAUGUGGAAGUGUUAGCUGUGAUGUUAGCUUGUUGUUCCAUCAGACAACAUCUCAUUCCAAGUGGAACACUAAUUCCUUUAUAUUGCACGACUGGACGUGAAUAGUGCUCUAUAUAGGGAAUAGGGUCUAUAGUAGUGCACUAUAUAGGGAAUAGGGUCUAUAGUAGUGCACUAUAUAGGGAAUAGGGUCUAUAGUAGUGCUCUAUAUAGGGAAUAGGGUCUAUAGUAGUGCACUAUAUAGGGAAUAGGGUCCCAUUUGGGACUUAUCCUAGGUCAUAUAACAGCGCAGUACAGUAUGUAGGUUGGGCAGUGUCGUGGGUUUAUUCCUUUAAAACAGGGCCCCUUUGGGUCCUGCGAUGCUUCAGCUUGUUUCUAAACAUAGAGGCAGGUCACGUAGGGGCACGACGGCAGAUGGACAGAAUAUUGGUUUGUGUUUUUAGCUUGUUUGAGUGUUACUUUGGGCUGCUGUGGUGUUAUUUUUUGCAGUGGGUAGUAGAGACUAUUAGAUGGAUGAUUCUCGUUAUGAUACAAAUUUUGUGGUGAGAGAAUAAAGAGGACUCCCAAAUGCCUUCCUAUUCCCUAGGUAGUACACCUCCUUUGGACCAGGCAGCCGUAGGGAAUCGGGCGGCAUUUGGGACUGAAGUCAGGUUAUAUUUGCAGCGGACGUUGUUUUUAACUUUUGGUUUUUAUUUGAGAACUAGGAGACCCUGUACUGCACCCUGUUUUACAUAUUCAUGUUCCCAGCUUUCACUUCAUAAUGAAUAAAUGAUUCCCUGUCGCCCGCCUGUCUGUCUGUCUCAUUCUGCUACUGCCGUCUACUUUUCAAGUCGUCCGAGUUGAACUCACUCCUUGCCUGCUUCCCAAAUGACAACAGUAGUGCACUAGUUGGGGGGAAAUAGGGUGACAUUUUAGG